CAAGGCGGUGGGCGCCGGACCCCGCCUCCCAGACCUGCCUCCCAAUUUUCGGUGAGUGGUGUAGCCCUGGGCGGCGUGCAAAGUGUGCGACGGCGGCGCUUACCCCUGCUGCGCGCCUCCUUACCUCCAGCUUCCCGGUUAGCGCGCGCGGGGACCGCCACCCACCCCUCCCUCCCGGCGGCGCGUGCCCGGCGGCGGGUCGUCCGAUGAGAGGUGUUAUGUGAGCGCGAAAAACGAGCAUCGCAAGAGCAAGCAGGCGCCGGCGACUCGAGAGCCGAGUGGUGGUGGCCGGGGCCGCGAGGUCUGCGCCCCCGGAGUCCUCCUGGGCGGGACAGGUGGCGGGUCAGGGCGUCCCGGUUAUACGAGGCCGGUCCGGGGUGCCGCGGGGGGAUGCUCUGGAACAGAUGGAAAAGUAGUUUAUUGAACACGAAUUUGUUUGAGAAUUGUUUAAAGACUUUCAAGUGUCCCACCCCAGCCCUGUCCCAUAUGAGGAUGCGGUACAGCGUGGUGGGUGAAGAGCAGUCACACCAAGUUCUCAACGACUCGGCCGCGGCUCACUUUUCCUGGGACCUUGGUUGAGUCUCCUGGUUGAGCCCUGCGCGUGUCUGCUUGGGUACAAUUCAUUCAGUCAAUAAAAGUUUGGUCCGUGCGGCCCACCUUGGGCCCAGGUGAGUCAAGAGUAGCCCAGCCGUCAAUCUAAGACUUGGCAACUGCCUUUGGUGGGUCGCGGCUGCCUGCCGGUCAACCCCAAUCCAUAAAGUAGUCGUGAACUCUCUCCCCGCCUUUAACUUUCUUUCACUUCGAAACAGUAAAACUUUGGAUGUUUGGGGGGAUAGAAAGAAAGGAAGAGGCAGCCUACUUGUAAAUGGAAACACAGCUAACAUACCUAGGGGGUGGGGGGAUUGUUCGGUUUGGUCAGAGGCCUUGAGUAAACUGUCCAAAUAGUGUUGUUUUCUUUGAAAAUAGACACUGUUAACCAUUCAACGGGACUGCUGCAAUCCCCCGCUUCUCCUCAGUUUGCUCAACUCAAAGUAAGAAAAGUUGUGUCACAUGAAGAUGUCAGCUAUUAUUGUUCUUGGCCCCAUUCAGUACACCUCUACCCCCCUUCUACAAGGCCUCACUUUAUGGACCUGAAAGACAGCGGAGGGCAAUUCAAAGCCAGCAGACAACACUUGGAAUUAAGAACAGGAAGCGAAAUCUUCACGCCAGACCCUCAUGAUCUACAACUGCUACCUCGCCUGACUGCGGCUCUCAGACUCUCUCGAACUCUGCAGAAAAGUCGCUGUGCUUUGCCCUUUCCUCCUCACAUCCAAUUCACAAAACGAGGGCAGCUGGGACUUCUGUGCCUUUAUGGAUCUUCCUUGACUUUGACGUGUGGACACCAUCGAAGAGAGAAACUUCCUGGUCUCCAUGGAUGCCCGGUUCCCAGGACGAUUAGUGCCCUUCUCACAACAUCCCCAGGAGCCCCAGAAAGGCAGACAACUCAGCUUUCAAAUGAUCUGUACUAUGUGGAUUAACUGCAGAUGGACAGUUAUGAAGACCCAGGGUUGCAGUGACCUAACACCAAGAAAUGAAAACUCUAGAAAACUAGCCCUUCACGUAUACAAGACAUGAACACCCUGAGGGCAGGCGCCACAGGGCAAAGGUUUCACUGAGUCCUUUAAUCUGACCUGGGGUUAGAAAUCAGCAGUCACGAAGGUAGCCAACUUUCGAGGGAACUUGGCAACAGUGGAGGAGGGCCAGUGAGGCUCCAGACCAAACCUUGGGAGCUCCGGUAUGAAGUCAGCAUGCUGGUAAGAGGACAACUCUGGAAUGUCAAAGUCCGGCCUGAGCAAAAUGCCUACGGGGUGUCCUGGUCUGCAGAGGGCAGAAAGAAAGCUCUGCUGAGCCGAAAAGGAGCCUAGAUGAAAAAGCUUGCGUUGGUCCAUCCCACCAGCCACACAAAGGCCCUGAUGCCAGAUGGCUGACGGACAGAGAACCACCUCCAAAAGUUGACAGAUCUCCCACUUUGGGGACUGGUUCCAAUAAGGAUGCUUCUCACUAUGAUGGCUGAAGGCAUCAACCAGCUUAAAGCAGCAUUAGGUUUUUUGCUUCCUUAUCCUGAAAAGACAAAUCUCUACCUUCUGAGUACCAGGACAUUUUCAUAAUUGUACUCUCCGCUUCAAAAAGCCUAGCUGUGAAAGAAUCUUUCAAAGGAAGUUGAUAUAAAACUUAGUCGGGACCCAAAGACAUCUAAUCUGCAAGUUAAAUGGAUAUUCCAUGCAUUCAUAACCAUUCAAAGCAUCCUAGUGUCUAGAAAAACCUAACUGACCCCAUCCUAUCAUGAUGUUAUUAUUAACCCGGGCCUCAGGGGGGCGCCCUAGAGCAGGGGAACUUAAAGUCAUGCUCAGCCUUAAAAGUGAAUUUCUUAAACGGUUUUCUAUUAGUUAAAUCAGUAAUUAGUCUAAAUACAUCAUUUCAGUAAUCUGCCAUGAGUCAGUUGAAUGCAAAAUGGGGGGAAAAACUGUGGGCUAACUAGGGUGAUCCCCAAGGAUACAAUGUUUUAAUCUUAGAUAUAAGAUAACUUUAUAUUUCAUUUGCCUUGGACAUUCUUAAAUGUGUUAAAUAGAUGUGUAUUCCUCAACCUGGCAUAACUACAUAUCCUCUAGAUUUACUGAGCGUACAGAAGGCAGACAGGGCAACUUUGUGGAAAAAAAAAGAAGAAGAAAGAAGAAAACUAAAGAAUAGAACUCUACAACAAAAAUGUAGUUUCUAAAAUGGAUGCCAAAGUAGAAAAGAUAUUGAGAGAAAAAUAUAUGUGUAUUUCAGCAAAACUACAAACACACCAAAACAGGUACCAGCAGCAUGAAAACGCCAGGGGAACAAACCAAAAAAAUCACUCUAAUUUAUAGUAACUGAACCCUUGGCUUUACCUUCCUCCCAACACCUGAUAAUUCUGUGAAAUCACCCAGCUGUCACUCUUUUCCUUUUAGAAACAUGACACUGAUUUGUCUUUAUUAGAAUUCAGAGGUCUGCUUGAUGGGGCCCCUAAUAAAUGUAAGUCAUCAUCACUUCUUGACCUUUUUUCCCGGGAAAUUCUCGGUACGCGGUUAAACUGCUGAAAACAUAUUUGCAAGGUUCUGUGACUGUAACAUAAAAAUAAAGGAUCAAGGCUGGGUGGCUUUGGAGGUCUGAGCACAUCUGGGCUCCGCCCUGCCUGCACCCCAGAGGGAAAAUAACGCAGAUCGAUUAGAAACAGCAUCUGGGGGUAAUAGCAACGCUCUGCUUUGGGCUGAGCUGUCUGCAAAUAGGAAUGCUCUGCACAAGACUGAAGUACAGGAGGGGGUGUGCCAAGGAGCCCUUGCCCCUUCCUCUGCCCCUCCUAGCGUCCCCUUCCUCCCCCACCUGCCUGGCUACUGAGUGCCUUGAAAGAGCAGGAAAAAACCCUGUAGCCCAGAGAGCCUCAAUUAGCUAUCCACAUGAGAAAGAAAGAAAAAGAUUGAUGACGGAGUCCUAGUUAUGGUGACUUUGAGAUAAAAGGAUGGGGGGCGGCUUUUCCAAGAAACUGAAUCAUGACGCUUUUUUUUUUCUUUUUCUAUAAAAGCAACACUUGUCGUCCUUAUUUGUUCACUGGCUGCACUGGGCUGGUGGUACCCUAAAACAAAAUGAGGGCAGGUGGUCUCAGCCUUCACCACAUCCUAAGAUGGCCUCAGGCACCAGACAAAUCUAGACCCUGACCGUGAUGUUGCCAAGAGCCUAGUCAUAAAGACUCCCCUCUGCACGCCUGCCUGUAAAGACUGGUGUCCCUACCUCCCCUCUACUGCACACUUCAGAUGGCCACUGCAGAGAAAGCGAGAGGGUCUAUGACAUCUUAUUCGUGUCCCCUCUACUUCCUCAUUCCUCAGAGAGCAGAGGAACGGCUUCUAGGUCUGGCUUCUAGGUCUGUUCCCUCCAAUUCCUAAAAAUAAGUUUCCCUACAGCACUGGGUUGGGGGGAUGUCAGGGUAGGUGGUCAGAUAAGCUGUUUCUCAAAUAUUUGACAAACCGGCUGUCUGUGGACAAAACAACCAGUUGCUUUUCCAUGAUUGAACUUUCGACCAAAUUGAUUGGAUGCUUUGGUGUCAAGAAGACAAAAACUCAAGUCAAAAAGAUCACCAGAAUAGGAAAUUGUGGGCAACAAAAAAACAACAACAAAAACCAACCAAACAAAAACCAUACUACAGUAGGAAGCAUUACUUUUUCUAGCAACAAAAAUCUGAGUUUUCAGGUUGUGCUAAAUGACUCAAAAUUCGCCAGUGAAGAGACGGCAGAGAGAAUGGAUUUUUUAAAAGGUUAUACUGUUCCUAUUUAUUUGGCCUCGCUGCUGCCAGAAAGUGGCUUGGAGCCCUCUUUUUUAGCACUCUAUAAAAUGUAAAUGGUCUAAAUUAAGAAGCCAUCUAAUCUCAACCAAUAUUAAUUCUGACAUGAAAAAUGAGACCAAUUCUUCAAACAGGAUUAUGAGCCCCACCACCCGACAUUAACCGAUCACCUCACCCUGUUUCUCAAAGAACGGGAUAUUUUCCUUUUCCAAAGUGCCUAUUUAUUUCUAAGACUGGAUCAAAAUCCUCACACACUUUCCUUAUUCCGACAUUGAAAAGGUACAGCCUCCUAAUGUGGGCUGCUUUGACACCCCCCUCACCCCCAACUCAGCAAGCUUUUUUGUCUUAUUUGUCUUUUUUUGUGUUUUUUCCUCCAAACUAAAAUCCCUCUAAAAUAUCUAAACACCCCAACGGUCGUAAGUUGGGAUGCUGCCCCUUCCUCCUUGCAGACUGAACUGCCGGCUCCUAAAAUUGUUUUCCAAGCAGAAAAGGGAAAACUGAGAAAAAUAAAGAUUUUUUUCCCCUCAUGUUUUCUCCUCAACCGGUCCAUUGAAAUCAGCAGGAUCACGGUUCCUCCGUCUAUGCAGCAGGCAGAAUCACCGUGCGUCCAGAUAAAAGAAUUUGCCUUUUGGCUGGGCUCAGAUGGGGACACUGCAGUUUUUCUAGAAAAAGGAGGCAUCUCUGUAUCCCUGCAGUACCGCCUCAGCAUCCCAAGACCCCUACCCCUUCCCAUAAGAUCUCGCAGAUGUUGCAUUUGGCUUGUGAAUCCUCUUGGUAAGUGCAAGAAAUAAAGUGGCUUUACUCGGAAAUGUCCAUCGUUCACCUACCGCACAAAGCCCUAAGUCCCUGCUGUUUCAUUAUCCUCUACCCGGUAGUAA